rnacentral:rRNA from 1 species
CGGCGGACGGGUGAGUAAUGCCUAGGAAUCUGCCUGGUAGUGGGGGACAACGUUUCGAAAGGAACGCUAAUACCGCAUGCGUCCUACGGGAGAAAGCAGGGGACCUUCGGGCCUUGCGCUAUCAGAUGAGCCUAGGUCGGAUUAGCUAGUUGGUGGGGUAAUGGCUCACCAAGGCGACGAUCCGUAACUGGUCUGAGAGGAUGAUCAGUCACACUGGAACUGAGACACGGUCCAGACUCCUACGGGAGGCAGCAGUU